AUUGAACGCUGGCGGCAGGCUUAACACAUGCAAGUCGAGCGGGGAAAGGUAGCUUGCUACCUGACCUAGCGGCGGACGGGUGAGUAAUGCUUAGGAAUCUGCCUAUUAGUGGGGGACAACAUCUCGAAAGGGAUGCUAAUACCGCAUACGUCCUACGGGAGAAAGCAGGGGACCUUCGGGCCUUGCGCUACUAGAUGAGCCUAAGUCGGAUUAGCUAGUUGGUGGGGUAAAGGCCUACCAAGGCGACGAUCUGUAGCGGGUCUGAGAGGAUGAUCCGCCACACUGGGACUGAGACACGGCCCAGACUCCUACGGGAGGCAGCAGUGGGGAAUAUUGGACAAUGGGGGGAACCCUGAUCCAGCCAUGCCGCGUGUGCGAAGAAGGCCUUUUGGUUGUAAAGCACUUUAAGCGAGGAGGAGGCUACCGAGAUUAAUACUCUUGGAUAGUGGACGUUACUCGCAGAAUAAGCACCGGCUAACUCUGUG
rnacentral:rRNA from 1 species